GGGGUUUCAUACACAAAGGAGCUUAGUUCGUGAUCUGGCAGCCCGAGGUUGACUGCACACAUGCCCGUAGAGGGACACCCUCGGAGAGCUGCAGUUGGAGCUCAAGAGUAAUUUUGGAUAAAAGUGUUUUUCUUGCCUGUUUUGUCACAAAGCAGUUUCAAACCUUCUGUGGAAACAUACAUCUGAGUGUUUCCAUGUCCACACCUCCCCCCUGGUUUAUUAUUAAUAUCUCAAGCAUAAUGUAGUUUUUGUUGCUUCUAGAACUGUAUAUAAAUGCAAUUGUUUCUGUAUUGUAUUGCUCUGAAUUUUCAAGUACAUUUAAUCUGAUCUGGUUUGUAUCAGGUUUCCCAGUAGAUUUUAAGACUUUAAAACUUUUAAUGUCUUCUGUAAAUAUGUUUUAUUCCUGUCAGAUGAAACGCUUAUUUUCACAAGAAGCUCUGGUUUUUACUCUGAAGUUACCUUUCAGUGGUUCUUGUCGCACAAGAUUCUUUUUUUUUUUUAAGAAAAAAAAAGAUAAAAUUGAGUGUUAACAUGGGCGAACUUCACAACUCUUGGUUUUAGUGUUAUGCCAAGGACCUGAUCUCAGAAUAUUCACCCAAGACAGCAGUCAUAUAGAAAACAAAAUUGUACUUCGUUUGAGAGGAGAAUUGAAACACAAGAUUCUUUUUUUGCUGCUUGUAAAUCUAAUCACAUCUCUUUGUACAAAAUAAUGGAGCUGCAAAAGCAUUUGUGGGAGACUGGCUUUCUGAAAACUAGUCGCUACAGCAGUUGCUUGAGGUCCAUCACUUCUGCAGGUAUUUUUUUCUGCAUUACUCUGUUCUUUAUACAAAUAAGCUCCCUGGUUUCUGAAGGCUUGUACCUUGAGGCCGGGAAGUAAAGGGGUGCAGGUGGGAACAUGAACCCCAAAGUAUUCUGGGAUAAAACUUAAUUUUCUCUUUUGUAGUCUGUGAAAAUUGGGUUAACUUUGACUCGUGGUUUACUCUGUUCUUAACUAAUGCUUGUUGCUCCUUUCUCAGAACAUUGAGGUAAGAAAUGUUCAGGCCUCUUAAUCUAGAAACUAUCAUUUCUGAAUAAAUGCCUAAAAUACAAAGUCUCUAGCAAGAGCCCCAAAUUCCCUUUUUCUCACUUUCUUAGAAGAAUCCAGAAACUAUAACAUUUUAGAGCAUUAAGUUGAAACAAAUACAAGUUAAACUUACUUGAUGAGUGAGAACUUGACCAUUUGGAAAUAAAAAGUAAUAUAUCUAAAAAA
rnacentral:lncRNA from 1 species